UGGGGAAUUUUGGACAAUGGGCGCAAGCCUGAUCCAGCCAUGCCGCGUGCGGGAAGAAGGCCUUCGGGUUGUAAACCGCUUUUGUCAGGGAAGAAAUCUUCUGAGUUAAUACCUCGGGAGGAUGACGGUACCUGAAGAAUAAGCACCGGCUAACUACGUGCCAGCAGCCGCGGUAAUACGUAGGGUGCAAGCGUUAAUCGGAAUUACUGGGCGUAAAGCGUGCGCAGGCGGUUUUGUAAGACAGAGGUGAAAUCCCCGGGCUCAACCUGGGAACUGCCUUUGUGACUGCAAGGCUUGAGUGCGGCAGAGGGGGAUGGAAUUCCGCGUGUAGCAGUGAAAUGCGUAGAUAUGCGGAGGAACACCGAUGGCGAAGGCAAUCCCCUGGGCCUGCACUGACGCUCAUGCACGAAAAGCGUGGGGAGCAAAACAGGAUUAGAUACCCUGGUAGUCCACGCCCUAAACGAUGUCAACUGGUUGUUGGGAAGGUUCCUUCUCAGUAACGUAGCUAACGCGUG
rnacentral:rRNA from 1 species